rnacentral:misc_RNA from 1 species
GUGAUUUUUAACUGGUCCAUUGGCUUCCUGUCCGCAAGUCUAGGUAAACAUGAACGUCUCUCAGGCAAUAGUAAUUUGUGUUGGCCUUCAGCAUAUGGCUGCACAUUGUCAUUCUCCAAAGCAGAUAACAAUAACCCAAAUUGGCAAUAUCCGGAAGCUGUAGGCUGAAACCAGGCAAGAUCGACCCUCACACAAAAGGCACUUAGAGUUGGAUUAGCAUGCGUUUCCAGCCAACUAAUUACAUGUUCAAAAGUCUUCUUCAGGUGUCCAUAACGAACUAAGCGUAGUUGAGCAUUGAGUCCAG